rnacentral:rRNA from 1 species
UGGGGAAUUUUGGACAAUGGGCGAAAGCCUGAUCCAGCAAUGCCGCGUGUGUGAAGAAGGCCUUCGGGUUGUAAAGCACUUUUGUCCGGAAAGAAAUCCUUGGCUCUAAUACAGUCGGGGGAUGACGGUACCGGAAGAAUAAGCACCGGCUAACUACGUGCCAGCAGCCGCGGUAAUACGUAGGGUGCAAGCGUUAAUCGGAAUUACUGGGCGUAAAGCGUGCGCAGGCGGUUUGCUAAGACCGAUGUGAAAUCCCCGGGCUCAACCUGGGAACUGCAUUGGUGACUGGCAGGCUAAAGUAUGGCAGAGGGGGGUAGAAUUCCACGUGUAGCAGUGAAAUGCGUAGAGAUGUGGAGGAAUACCGAUGGCGAAGGCAGCCCCCUGGGCCAAUACUGACGCUCAUGCACGAAAGCGUGGGGAGCAAACAGGAUUAGAUACCCUGGUAGUCCACGCCCUAAACGAUGUCAACUAGUUGUUGGGGAUUCAUUUCCUUAGUAACGUAGCUAACGCGUGAAGUUGACCGCCUGGGGAGUACGGUCGC